CUGCUGCGGUGAUGCCAGCUGCAGUUGGGGAGGUACAGCCAGGGCUGUUCACUUCCUGGAGCUGGCAGGGGCCAGGAACAGG
rnacentral:pre_miRNA from 1 species